GAUGAAGAACGUAGCAAAAUGCGAUACUUGGUGUGAAUUGCAGAAUCCCGUGAACCAUCGAGUUUUUGAACGCAAGUUGCGCCCAAAGCCUUUUGGCCGAGGGCACGUCUGCCUGGGCGUCACGCAUCGCGUCGCCCCCCACAAUUCUUCGUAAAGGGAACAUGUGUUUUGGGGGCGGAUAUUGGUCUCCCGUGCUCAUGGCGUGGUUGGCCGAAAUAGGAGUCCUUUCGAUGGACGCACGAACUAGUGGUGGUCGUAAAGACCCUCGUCUUUUGUUUCGUGCUGUUGCUCGCAAGGUAAACUCUUUAAAAACCCCAAUGUGUCGUCUCUUGACGACGCUUCGACCGCGACCCCAGGUCAGGCGGGACUACCCGCUGAGUUUAAGCAUAUCAAUAAGCGGAGGA
rnacentral:misc_RNA from 1 species